GUGGGAGAAAGCCUAACAGCUCAGACUGUGACGCUCCGCGGCUUUCGUUCCCUCGUGACGUCAGAGGACACCUGCCACCGGUCCACCUGGGCGUGCGGCUUGCGGACCACCUUCCGUGGCCGCUGCACAGCCUCGGACGCGGCGGGGCGUUGCUCCAGGAAGAAACGAGAGACGGGGCCACGGGCGGGGGGGGAGUGGGAGGAAACCGCAGCCUCCUCGCCUGGAUCCCACGCGGCUGGUCGCGGGGCCUCAGGCCGGAGCCCGUCCGCCAGCCCGCAUCCCUCCAGGAGGACCUUCUGUCCCGCCUCCAGGGCCGCGACCCAGGCAAGCGCCUCGUCCCGCACCCGCCGAAGAGAUGCUGCGGUUUUAGGGAUGAAGCAAGCUGUGGACUGGAUCCCCCGCGGGCAGCAGAGGAUUCCUACCCCUGGGAGGGACACGAUUGCUUAGGGUCUACGUUAACUGCUCCCGGUGCGCUGGCCUUGGCCAAGUACUAAAGCCCGCAAUACUCGGCGUCCAUUCAGCAAGCGCUGAUGGUGCCUCUUGCUUGAUCGAUCACCCACCGCUCCCAGCGCUCUGUCCGCCUGUCCCUCUGCAGAGCCGUCCUCCGGCCACACCCGCAGCAGCUCGAGCUCCCGCACGCAGUCACCACCACGCACGCGUUCUGUCCUCUAGCCUGUAGGGCGACCUCACAGGACACACUACCGGUGCCUGCAGGGAGUGCGCGUACUUUCUCGACGCUGCAAACUCUUGGGAGGAACAGUCAGAAGCAGUCGUUCUGGUUAAUAACAGGCUUUCCAGUCCCGUCUGCAGGGCUGCCCAAGGAUGCGACAUACCCUCCCGUAAAAUAAGUCUAUUUUCAGUACCUAUGCGUAACCAGGAGUACAGCCACGAGAGACCACGAUUUACCUGUCUGGCACAUCAUCUCCCAAGGCCUGCAGGACACCGCAAAGAGGCAACUCGAGUUCUCCAGCACCCACUGCAGCAUCCUGUUUCUUUCUCUAAAAUCUGUCUCUCAGCCAUUCAUCACCAUGACAGCAUUACCAGAACUGGGAGGAUUGAUCACACACUCUCCCCUGAGGCAGGUGGUAAUACAGCUCAUUAAUUUGGGAGAUUUCUAAGUGCUUGGCGACAUCAACUGAUAAAAGAGACAAAAUUACUGCCUUUCUUGAGACAGAAGAGGAACAUCCUGCUUGUGUCAAUGAUAUAUAUAUGUCAUUGAUAUAUAUAUAUGUCAAUGAUAUAUAGAGAAGGUCAUCAGAGCUACAGAAAAAAAAAAAAGGUGAAGUGGUAAAUCAGAAAGGGUGAGACUG